AGAUGCUGGUGGAGGAGUGGCUGGAGGUGGAGUAGCAGGGGGAGGAGAUGCAGGUGGUGGAGAGCUUACAGGAGGGGGAGUAGCAGGUGGUGGAGUUGAAACUGGGGGAGGAGUAGCGGGAGGUGGAGAUUGUGUUACCGGAGGAGGAGCUGAAGCUGGGGGAGGAGUAGUGGUAGUUGGUGGAGCAGGGGUGGUAGUCGGAGGAUUAGUCGGAGAUUGGCCUCCGACGCCGGCAAUAACAAUGCAGAUCAAAGAAACAAAGAUCGCAGCUUUUUGAUGCUUCAUUUUCGUUAAAUUCAAUUUCUCUCUCUCUACAGGAGAGAAA
rnacentral:misc_RNA from 1 species